CCUACGGGAGGCAGCAGUGGGGAAUUUUCCGCAAUGGGCGAAAGCCUGACGGAGCAAUACGGCGUGAGGGACGAAGGCUUUUGGGUCGUAAACCUCUUGGCUCAAGGAAGAUGAUGACGGUACUUGAGGAAUAAGCAUCGGCUAACUCUGUGCCAGCAGCCGCGGUAAU
rnacentral:rRNA from 1 species